GGUGGGGCCGCCACUUCUCGCCCGUUCGGCGGACAUCUCGAAACUGCCCUGGAGAGCGCCGCUGUCUCUCCCAAUCCUCUCUCGCCCUCCUCGCUCUCUCCCUAAUCCCCUCCACAUCCUCUCCUCCUUGCUCGCCGCAUCUGCACUCUACCGGAGAAAGCGGAGGUCGUGGUGCGGGCCUCGUGUGCGCGCGACGGAGGAGGGCGGGUGCUUCGGUGGUGCGCGCACGCUAGGUUGAGGAGGGACUGGCUUUCGGCUGUCUGCACGUGCACGGCUGAAGGAGCGCCGAGCUGCGGUGUACGCGCGACUGAAGGAGUGCUGGGCUGCAGUGGUCCGCGCGUCGGAGGAGCGCGAGGCUGCGGUGGUCCGCGCGUCGGAGGAGCGCGAGGCUGCGGUGGUGCGUGCGGCGUGUCUGCGGAAGGCGGAGCUUGGUGUGGAACGCAGGUCGCCGGUGACGCUGCGGUGGACUUGUUGCUGAAAUCGCGAGGAUACAAAUCAGAGUCAGAAAAGAGCAGUUGCAGAUGAUGUAUGCAGACUUUUUGUUCUGAAUUUGGAGGCGGUUUUUGAACAUAUGUGAAACUUUGUAGUACUACUUUUAAAAGACAUGGUGAUUUGUUUUAGUUCAAUGUUUUACUUUGCGUUGAAACUAUGUUUCUUGUUUAGGGACAAGUUUCUUUAUUGAUAUGUGCCACUUGCACAACAUUUGCAACAAUGUGUGGUGGGGGUAUUAAAAAAGGGUAUGUGUGAUCUGGUGCAGUCCAGCAAGGUAUUAACUAACAACAACUUAAUAGGAAUCAACCACAGUAUUAAGAACCAGUGUUGGGGAGGGGACUCCUUUUUCUUAGCAAGCAUGCAUAUAGUCAUGCAAGUUCAGGGAUCAAAAUAGAUGUGCCGGAAUCUAACCAAAUGGUGCCCAAGAUCUCAAGAAAGGAGGAAAUAGGGGAACUAAUUGUUGUCUUAAACAGGGGAUAAAAAAAGAAAAAGAGGUAGAUCUGAAGAGACCGAACAGGAGAAAAAGAGGUAGAUCAUGCUGAAGGAUAUCCUAUAAUCAAGGGUGAACCAAGGUUUCCAGAUCAGGGCAAGGAGGCACACCUCUUUUUCGUAGCUUGGGGGAGAAGAAGAUGGGGAUGCGUGGGUGGGUAUGGUCAGAAGAAGGGAACGGCUUGGAACCACGUGACGGGGGGACCAAGCGGAGUUGGGUUGUGGGAGGGUGGACAUGCAAUUCGCGUGAUACAGUGGUGGACCGGCCGGUUUCCUUUUUGCCCGGCGGACCAAAACAUUCCUUUUGUGGCCUGCUGCCAGGGAUCGCUAGGGAGCAAACGGCUGCUCCCUAGACGCGUCCAAGAAAAAAUAACCCUGGACCAAAUUUCAAGGGGCAGUUAAAAAUAA